rnacentral:rRNA from 1 species
AUGGACGUGGUGUGCUGGAACGUGAGGGGUUUAAACAGCCCAGUCAAGAAGAAGGCUCUGAGGGAGUUUGUCGACUCAUUGCGUGUGGCAAUCAUUUGUAUUGUGGAGACUAAACUGGAUCAUGUUGAGCAGUACAUUAUAUUGCAAUGUUUAGGACCAUCUUACGAUGGUUUUGCGUACCUACCAGCUUCUAAGACUAGAGGAGGGAUCUUGGUUGGUUGGGACUCCUCACGUGUCCAGCUAUCUAACUUUGCCCUUGACUCCUUCUCUCUGACUGGUUAUGUUGCGCCGAGGGAGGGGUGCCCAUGGUGGCUGUCUGUGGUAUAUGGGCCACAAGAGGAUCAUCAGAAAAUCCACUCCAGGAGUUAUCUGAAAGGAGGACGCUUUGCCCGGGCCCGUGGCUGGUGA